UAGGAGAAUCCUGUGAGACUAAAAAAGAAAUUCUACCGACCUCCUACCUCCUCAUUUACAUAUGGACACUGUCACAACCUGGCUCAACAGUAUGCGACAAAAGAGGGAGACCACACAUAGUCUGUAAAUAAUUCCAAAAAUGUUUUAAUUAACCAAAGGAAAUAAGCAAUAAAAUUAGGUAUCAGUUGUCAGUGUGUAUGCAGUGUCUCUGUGUGUGUGAGUGUAUGUAUGUGGAAACAAUAUUGAAACAAAUAAUAAUGUCAGUCAGUAAGGCCAGGAGAGAGAGUGAGAGGAUCCUGCAGGUCUAAUUUAUAGCCACCUGAGCCCAGCCUGCUCAGGUGUGUUGCAUCACUGAUGGCAUAGCUCCUCCCACCAACCUCCUGAAACAAAGUAAACAAACAGCCAAAAGAGCAGGACCAACCCCAGGGUCAUCACAACACAGAAAUAAAUGUAGGUGAACAGAAAUAGAGAAAUAAAAAGCAUUUACCUUUUAAUUUUACUUUUAUUUAUACAUUUCAGCAUUUAUACACAUGUCAGGUUUAGUCCUCCAUAGCAUUGACCAAAAAUGGAUCCAAUCUAAUAGAUCAACUCGAUCGACUCCGAGCUGAACUCGUCACAGCUUCCGCCUGCGAUGCAAGAUCUGGUUGUUUACCUGAAGCUCCUGUGGACACACCUGUUCAGCAGAGAGCCGUUAAAUACUGUUCAAAAUGGUUCAGACAUGUGCACAUAAAGAAUCUAUGAGUUGGCCCAACUUGACUCAAAAAUCUGCUCAAAGAUUUUUGAAUCCUUGUUAUGCUGAUUUUAAAAAUAGUUAAGACAAUGAGGGAAAUUUGCUGGGCAAACAAGAUUUUAUAGAUUGCUUAUUGCAAAGCUUUUCUCAGUCAGUUUAAUUUGAAAACUCUAAUGAGAUAACUAAUUAGUUCUCAUUUUUACAGGUAUGCAUGAAAGGGAUGAACCAGAACGGCUGCUCAGCAAGGACUAACAGGCUACAGUUUACAAUACACAUGUG
rnacentral:lncRNA from 1 species